rnacentral:rRNA from 1 species
AUUGAACGCUGGCGGCAGGCCUAACACAUGCAAGUCGAGCGAGCGGCGGACGGGUGAGUAAUGUGUGGGAAACUGCCUGAUGGAGGGGGAUAACUACUGGAAACGGUAGCGAAUACCGCAUACCAUCAGAUGUGCCCAGAGGGGAUUAGCUAGUAGGGGGGGUAACGGCUCACCUAGGCAACGAUCCCUAGCUGGUCUGAGAGGAUGACCAGCCACACUGGAACUGAGACCCGGUCCAGACUCCUACGGGAGGCAGCAGUGGGGAAUAUUGCCCAAUGGGCGAAAGCCUGAUGCAGCCAUGCCGCGUGUGUGAAGAAGGCCUUCGGUUUGUAAAGCACUUUCAGCGGGGAGGCGUUACCCGCAGAAGAAGCACCGGCUAACUCCGUGCCAGCAGCCGCGGUAAUAC